rnacentral:rRNA from 1 species
UACAGAGGUCUCAAGCGUUGUUCGGAAUCACUGGGCGUAAAGGGUGCGUAGGCCGCACGGUAAGUCAGAGGUGAAAUCCCGGAGCUCAACUCCGGAAUGGCCUCCGAUACUGCCGUGCUCGAGGACUGGAGAGGAGUCUGGAAUUCACAGUGGAGCAGUGAAAUGCGUGGAUAUUGUGAGGAACACUAGUGGCGAAGGCGAGACUCUGGACAGUUCCUGACGCUGAGGCACGAAGGCCAGGGGAGCAAACGGG